GUUGCAGCAAAAGUUGUUGGUCGAAUUUCCAGUUUUUCAUUGCGGCUUUGCAAGCUCUUUAUCAUCAAGUUACUGCUUCAACCAAAAAACUUUUGCUCAUGUGUUAAAGGAUGUUGGCAUGUGUUAUCCAAAAAAAAGAAGUAUUGAUUUCACAUUUUUUUGUGUGCGUAAAUAGUUGAUCCUAACAUGAAUUCUCCGUUCUUUUUAUGUAUAUAAACAAUGGGCUCUUUAGGAUCACUGUCAAGGGGGAAUACUAGAUUAACCAUUUUUGUGUACUGAUGAUAAGGCAUUUGAUAAUGUAUUUUCUGUAAAUUA